rnacentral:misc_RNA from 1 species
CUUGAAAAAUUAAAAAAAAAAAAAUCAUGCCAGGACAGUGAAGUCAUAGAUUAAUCAGCUAUUAGAAGAACAUGUUAAUGCUGGUUUAAAUUUGUACUAUUGAAUCUAUCGCUGUGCAUUCAAGCAUAAAGCUUUGUCCAUUGUUGAGAUAUUUCCUGGUGUGCUGUUCCAUGUUACGGCAGAGCUCAUGUCUAUUGGCAAAACAUAAAUUAUUUUCUUUCCUACUAUUUUGUGAAUCACACCAAAUAAAAUGAGAAGCCAUUCAAAUUCAACAAUUAAAUGAGAGCAAAGAUACUUAACCUGCUAUAAAAUCCACAAUAAAGCUUAGCUUAGCAAAAUCCAACUAAUUAAUCCACAUAUA